rnacentral:tRNA from 1 species
GCCCUCGUAGCACAACGGUAGUGCAGCGGUCCCGUAAACCGCCAGGCGGAAGUUCGAAUCUUCUCGAGGGCU